rnacentral:rRNA from 1 species
UACGGAGGGUGCGAGCGUUGUCCGGAAUCACUGGGCGUAAAGGGCGCGUAGGCGGCCUGAUAAGUAGGGGGGUGAAAUCCUGCGGCUUAACCGCAGGGCUGCCUUCUAAACUGUCAGGCUCGAGCACAGUAGAGGCAGGUGGAAUCCGGUCGUGCGUGGAAUGGCGUAGAGAUCGGGAAGAACAUCAGUGGCGAAGGCGGCCUGCUGGGCUGUUGCUGACGCUGAGGCGCGACAGCGUGGGGGAGCAA